rnacentral:rRNA from 1 species
AGCAUAAUAAAUAGCCCUCUAAUUAGGGGACAGUAUCAACGAGCAUACGAGAAAGAAACUGUCUCUUUUAUAAAAAUAAAAAUUAACCUUCAGGUGAAGAGGCCUGAAUCUAAUUAAAGGACAAAAAGACCCUAUUGAGCUUUACUUUACAAAAUAAUUUUACUAUUUUUUACACAACUGAAACAUUAAUUAAAGUUUGGUUGGGGCGACCGAGGAAAAUAAAACACUUCCUUUAAUAAAAAGACCUCAUGUCACACAAAAUGAGCCGUUUUACGACUUUUGAAAAUAGCUACCUUAGGGAUAACAGGCUAAUCCCUCUUAAGAGUCCACAUUGACAGAGGGGUUUGGCACCUCGAUGUUGGCUUAAGGCACCCAUUAGAUGUAGAAGUCAAAAAUGGUAGGUUUGUUCAACCUUUAAAG